AGAGCGAACGCUGGCGGCAGGCCUAACACAUGCAAGUCGAGCGGCCGUAGCAAUACGGCAGCGGCAGACGGGAGAGUAACACGUGGGAACGUGCCCUUCAGUUCGGAACAACCAAGGGAAACUUUGGCUAAUACCGGAUACGCCCUUACGGGGAAAGACUUGUCGCUGAAGGAGCGGCCCGCGUCUGAUUAGCUAGUUGGUGAGGUAAUGGCUCACCAAGGCGACGAUCAGUAGCUGGUCUGAGAGGAUGAUCAGCCUCACUGGGACUGAGACACGGCCCAGACUCCUACGGGAGGCAGCAGUGGGGAAUAUUGGACAAUGGGCGCGAAGCCUGGAUCCAGCCAUGCCGCGUGGGUGAUGAAGGCCCUAGGGUUGUAAAGUCCCGUUUCGGCGGGAAGAGUAAGUGACGGUACCGCAGAAGAACGCCCGGCUAACGUCGCGCCAGCGAGCCGC
rnacentral:rRNA from 1 species